rnacentral:misc_RNA from 1 species
AAACUACUUGUGUUGUCUAUGAUGUCUCAUGAAAUUUGUUUGCUUGCAUGUUGCAUUGCAGUUUAAUCUCUUGUUUUUUAUUGAAAAGUGGUGGGUAAGAUGUAGUACAUGUUAAAAAUGUAGUUAAUUGUGAUUUCACUCUAGGUUUUGAUAGCCAUUUUCUUUGCUGCCUGGUUGACUGGGUAGUGUAAGAAAUGUGUAAAUUAUGUUAAAUAUUUUAUUAAUAUUUAUAAGUUGAGAAAUAUAUGUUUAUUGCAGUGUACUUUCUUUAUCUAUUAGUGUGUAUUCUCCAUUAUUGAAAGGCAUAAACUAUAAUUUUGUUUAUUUUAGUAAUUUGCUAUUCUCUUUAUUGCAUGAAAAUAAUUGAACUGUCUAUGCAAAUAUCAAGUUAAGGGUAUAAUUGAAAGUUCAUAGAUAGUUUUUGUUAGUGAAUGAAUUUAUUCAACUUAUAGUAUUUGUUGGUGAAUGAAUUUACUCAACUUUCUAGAACAUUAUGGUUUUGUCAAAUAUAUUUAGGGGAAAUGGAAGGACCGAAGGAGUAUUCUUUCUAGCAUGCCACUACAACAAUCAACAGUCCCCAACCUUGUCUCAAAGAAAUUUAUGCUGUCUUUUUCUUGCUCUCCUAGUAGGUUAUAUGGUUGUGGCAGGGUUUGAACCCAGUACACUUUCAUGGUGCAUUGGGUCUCAACCAGUUUAGUAGUGUGAAUUGAUUGGCAUGUCUUAUGAUAUUAUUUUGUUAAGAUCCUUUCAGUUGAUGGAGGCUGUUGAAUAUUGUUCAUGAAUUCUCCUGCUGAUGUAGUAAGGUUAUAUUUCUUACUCUUUAUUUCUCUUUUAAUUUAUUUGAUGUGCCUGAAGGUUGGACCUGGAUCUGUUUUACGCGGUCCUCUGAAGAAUGUGACAAGUGAUGCCGUGACACCAAGACUCCAUUGUGAACUUGAAGAUUGCCCUAUUGAACUACUUCAUCCUCCU